UAUCCAGAAUUCCAGAUCGAGGCACGAUGGCCAGGGCCGCCAAGCAGAACCACGACCCCGGCCGUGCUAUCCUCUAGUCUCCUCUUCUGCAGAUCGGGGUGAACGGCUCUUCAUGGUGUUCCUGAUUCCUCUUUCAAACUCGUGCAGAUUUCUCAUCUCUGUCCGGACGGUAGGCGCAGCAAUUACUCGCGAGGACCAUGAUCCAUAGUCCAUCAAGAUAAUAAUCAGGGCAUCCCACAUGCAGUAGCCAACCAAAUCGGUCUUCAACUAUGGAUGUACCUGAUUUCAAUAUUGCACAAGGGCUGGAAGACAAUGCAAUCGUCUCGAUAGAAAAAACAAAACAAAUGGUGCUAACUAUUGGAUGGAAUCAAAUGUAUCUUUGCCUGCCUAGUCUUUGGUGAGACUGUAAUAUUUACAGUAACUGGAUAUCACAGAUUGCUUUCUUGGACACA